rnacentral:rRNA from 1 species
UACGAAGGGGGCUAGCGUUGUUCGGAAUUACUGGGCUUAAAGGGUGCGUAGGCGGUGUAGCAAGUCGGGAGUGAAAUCCCGCAGCUCAACUGCGGAAUUGCUUUCGAUACUGCUGCGCUUGAGUGAGAUAGAGGUAAGCGGAACUUAGGGUGGAGCGGUGAAAUGCGUAGAUAUCGGGAGGAACACCAGUGGCGAAGGCGACUACCUGGCCUGUUCUUGACGCUGAGGCGCGAAAGCUAGGGGGGAGCAAACGGG